GCCAUCUAUAAUACUCUUUCAAGUCCAUUCUUGCUUUAACAUUAUCCUUUAUUUUAUUUUUUAUAUCCAUAACUGUAUUAAGGAUAUUAUCAAACAUAUUUUUUUCUAUGUGCAUGACAUCUAAGUUGUGUCGGAUUAAAUUCAUCUUUCAAUAUGAUAAUUCUCAGAAUAUGCUCUGUUUCGUCCAAUUAUGACUUUUUCCAUACCC
rnacentral:lncRNA from 1 species